AUAUUAAAUCGAAUUCUGAUCUAUAUAUCAUAAUUAUAGAUUUUUCUCUGAUAAAAAAAAGAAAAAAUUUGAAAAUUUUAUUUAACUUACCAGUACAUUGGAAAAAUUCAUCAUCAAAUAUUUUUAAGGAGGAUGAUGAGAUACUUGUUCAGCAAUAAAUGAAAGCUGAUUUUCUUUGCACCAAGCCACUCCUGACUUACGACCUGCAUGGAAACUGCAUAAAUACCAACGAACUACUUGAACCAUCCUAUCUUUAGGAGUAGGCAUAUCUGCUAUGCUAAAACAUAAAAUAUUGUAAUAUAUUAAAAGUUUCAAUAAAUUUGUAAAAAAUUUUUACUAAA